AAAAACCAAAACAAGGGGUUUCAAUUUUAAUUCAUGGAUUCAAAGAAAUAGGGCUACAAAUUACAACCUUAUCUUUUCUCUACAACCCAUUUUUUCUAGAAACUCGUUCUAAGGCUAAGCUAGCUACAUGGUAAAAUAUUUUAUCAAGUGAAUUCAUAUUGAACUAAGCAGCAGCCUUCUUGGGGGACUNAAAUCAAAACAAAAACCUAGAUUACAAAAUAUUGGUUGAAAUGAUUUUUAAAACACAAAAACAUAGAUCUGAACAAGAAACGUCACCUCAGCAGCAAGAUAUUCAAGAACUGCGGCCAUGUAAACCGGAGCUCCAGUACCGACCCUCUGAGCAUAGCGACCCUUUUUCAAGUAACGUCCAAUUCUACCGACCGGAAACUGUAGACCGGCUUUGACGGAACGGGACACAGGCUUCUUCUUUGGGCCGCCGCCCUUCCUUCCUCCAGCACCCUUCUUCACUUUUGUUGCAGCGGACUCCAUGAAAUUAGGUUAAAAUUCAACAAUUAAGAAUAUUUAAAAAUUAAUUUGGGGGUAAAAAUGGGAAUCGACGCAGGGAUCAGGUGUUCAAUCAAAGAUGGCGAAUGGACAGACGAAGUUUGGUUAUAUAUAGUAGUACUGAUAUAUUGUGCUGCCGCUGGAUUUUGGGUUGAAAGGAUGGAGUGAUGAGUACCGUUGGAUUUUAAAGUAAUCGAUGGCGUAGGAUUGUUUGGUCUUAAUCCGCGUAACUGAAUUGGACCAAUGGAAACCGAUUUAAGAGUGAAUAUUUUUGCGCCCAAAAUUUUAUUUUUUUGAAAAUUGCAUCUGGUUCUCUUUCCCCGCCCGAAAUUUCACGUUGGCCUUUUGAAAUGUUUCCAAACAAUUUUCGUUGUUUGGGUUUUCUAUCGUAGCUUGGUUUAUACGUAAAACUUGAAGUGCAAUUAUAUACAUGCAAUAAACGGAAAGACGACCUCGACAAGGGUUAAUUAACUAUUAUAUUGAUUUAUUUGAUAAUAAGUUUUAACGGUAUUUAUUGAUAUUUCAAUUAGGGGCAAUUAAUUUCUUGCAACUACCAUCUAUGCUAGAUAGUAACUAGGUGGGAAAUCCCUAAUUAAUAGGGGGCCAGUCAGGCAGAGGUGAAGCUAAGAGAUUUUAAGCAGAUUAUUUAUAGGAAAUAAAGCGCAAAUGAUCAAUAAAAAGCCAAGAGACAAUGGAAUUUAAAAAGCACUAAAAGCAUCACAUCCCGCUAACGGAAUGGGGUUCUCACUUUGAACCUGGGCCUAUUGCAAUUUCUAAAUUUAUUAUCUAUGUGACAUCCUUUUAUGGUAUCAUUUUCCUUUAUAAUAUUGAUUUUUAUGCAUGACCAUCCACAUUAAGAGCAAUAUUGUAUCAUGACAUAAUCAUAGUGAUCGCUAGAAUUAUAAGAAAUUCUAACCAGCUAAUUUAUACUUUAAACUCUUAGACCAAAUAGUUUAUUUAUUCUCUUCAACAUGCUUAUCACGUGUACAAUAAAUUCAUUUUUACAUUAAAGACCUAUGCACAAUAUUCAUAAAUGAACAGCAAUAAGAAGAUCUCAAUACUUUUGCCUAAUCCCAUAUGAAAUUAAACAUAAAUGACUGCAUAAAAUAUGCCCAAACAGAUGAAUUUUGAUAAAUAACUUUGAUUCAUGAUAAUAUUCAUAAAGAACCUCAACAAACAUGGAAAUAUGAUUGACCAUCGUUUAACCGAUCGAAAUAAAGAAAAUAGAUUCACAUUAUUCUCAUUAAGAAUAAAACUUUAGCCCUUGUUUGACAAUCAUUAUUUGGGUAAAAUAAAUUUUGAAUAGUGAUGUUUUAGAUAAUUGUGUGGUUAAAAAGUAAAAAAGAAGUUUUGAUUUUAUAUGCAGAAUAUUUUAUUAUGUAAACGUGUGAUUGAAAAUAAAUAUGUAGAAAAAAGAUUUUUGAAAUAAUGAUUGUCAAAUUAAGACUUAAUUUGAUGUUGAUCACAAUCGUGGACAUUUACAAACCCACACCUCAAAUUCUUGGCUCAAAAACUAACAUUAUAGUUGCAAGAUCUUCACAAACUAGACAUUCAUACUAAGCAAAUUUAAACAGAUUCUUUGUAACCACAAUUGACCAACUGGCCGAUUCAUGCCAACCUUGGGCACAAUACCUAAUCUCACGAAAAAGAGCUUAGUUUUGACUUUUGAGCUAUUCUGAAAUUGACCAGACCAGUCUUAUAACCAAAAUCGACCCAACUCUAAUCUAUUCGAUUUGGGGAGGGUCACCAAUUUUUUCUUCUUUUUUUUUUUUUUGGUCAAUUUCAAUACUAAAUUUAUCUGUGGCUGAAUGAUGAGAGAAAAAAAAUUGGAUCAAAAGAAAAUGUCAUUUUGGAGUUUUAUCAACAAUUUGCUUGUGUAGGUGGGAAUCUGGUAUUUUUUGAAUCCUUAUGUAAAUCUAACCUUAAUUAACUAAAGUAGAAAAUAUUAAAUAAGGAAUUUACGAUAAAAUAAUAUUUGCCACUCAUGUACUAAACUUUUCUCUGACUUCCAAAUCUAACCUUAAUUGGCUAAAGUAAAAAAUAUUAAUAUUGUUAUAAAACUAUAAGAUAAAAAUUGAUGAUUGUUUAGUAUUAUCAUGAUACAUUGAUAAGUCUUAUUUAAUAUAAAAUAUAUAUUUCUUUUCAAUUGUAAAUCUCAUUUUGUCCCUUUUGCAAAUCAAUUGGCUUUGGUUCAAUCCAAUUUUCCUUUUAAAUGUGAUGGAAGUUGGAAGAAUCAAAAGAUUGUUAAAAAAAAUCAUUGAUUAACAUCAUAAUACCCAAAAUUUCCUCGAAAACCACUCUUUUAGUUCAAUCUCUAACUCUAACAAAGAUUGAAUAAAUCAAUGUGAGUAUAAAUCCCACCCCGAUCAAAUUCGAAAAUACAAUAUGGACACGUCAUACUACUUGUAACAACAAUGUUGACCUUUUAUGUAGAAUUCUAAGUCUUAAUAAACAAAUCUCUUCAAACUUCAAAAACUUGGAUUUAUACAUCUAAUUUAAAAAUAAUGAGAGAAAAGAAUUGACUGUAUACAAAGAUCCACACAUAAGUUAAUAGACUGUGCCCCUUAUUUGAAGAACAAGGCAUGGGAGAAGAGCUUUUCGCCAACAAGGUCUCCAUUGAUUUUGGGGGACACCAAGGAGGACAGAGAGGUAUUUGCCAUAGGUUACCUUUUCCAUGCCGAGACAUUAUAAUAAGAUCCAUUAGGAGCUCUAGUUCAUAAAAUAUGCUAGAAAUUGAGAAUUGAAAGCAAUAGAAAAGUAAAUACAAGAGAAAGUAGGUAUUGAGAACCGAUCUCUCUGAUCCAAUUCAGUUCUAAUAUGUUUCCAAAUACUUUAUACAUCCUUACUUUUAUAACUUUAAUAUUAACUAUCCUAUCCUCCAAAACCUCACAACCACCUCAUCUCCAAAAGUAUAUAUAUUGUUGAUAUUACAAAACUUUGCUUUCAGGAAUCCUGAAGAUAAAAUUAAAGGGCGAGAUUGGAAACUCGCGUUAGUUAAAAUCCAAUAUAUGGCAUCUUCAUCACUAUUCUUUCUUUUUUCUUACCUUCAGUAGUUGUAGAACGAUUGCUUUUCUUGGGACUAUUUGCAGAAUCCUCAAAUACCUUCGCAUCUGGUGAAUUUGGUGCUAAAUGCUAUAGACCUAAAUAAUCACAUAUAUUUUAAUUAAUUAGUCCGUCAUCAUUUAUACAUAUAUACCGCCUAAGUGUAAGUGAAAUUCAUGUGUGUACUUAGCAGAUUGCUAUAUUAGUCGGUGCAUGACAUUGAGUCAGGAGACCUAAUGCAAGUGUUGCAUUAAUUUUGAGGCCGAGGCUCAAGUCAUUUCUAUCCUUAACCAAGAUGCAUAUGCAUUUAGGGCUUGUAAAAUUAGAAAUGCAGAGAAUGUUGAAUACUGAUUCACCUUACAAUUUACAUUGCUUAAGCAUUAGGAAAUAUAUAUUACAAAGGACUGUACAAAGAAUAUUCUAGAGUGUACAACCGUAAGUUAUGGAGUAUGUUAGGAAUCUAUUUAUAACAUAAAUUAGUGGCAAUAUUCUAAUGAAACAAAAGGUAAGAAGACAAGGAUGAGCAGCUGGUGAUUGUGAGAUUAGUUGUUAAUUGAGUUGGAGGCUAAUGUGUAUGUUAAUUUUUGACACCCCCCUUUAAGUUGGACGGUACUGAAGUAACUCCAAGCUUGUCCUGUAAGAAAAGAAAUCUUGAGUGAGUGAGACCUUUAGUCAAUAAGUUUGCAAUUUGAUCAAAAGGAGGCACAUAUCACUUCCAGUUCCUUUCCAAUAAAAUUAUCUAUGAUCAAAUGAAUGUCCAAUUCAAUGUGCUUUGUUUUUGGAAUGGUAUACCAGAUUUGCUGCUAAAGCACCUGCACCCAUAUUAUCACACCAUAAUAUUGGAGUUGACACUUGUGGUAGUUCAAGUUCUUUGAAUACGACUGAAUCCAAGCAAUUUCUAAAGCUGUUGAUGCAAGAGCUCUGUACUCGAUCUGGAAACUACAUGUUUCUUUGAUGACUAUUGGGUUAUCUGCUAAAUAAAUGAAAUAGCCUGUUGUUGAUCCCUUGUCAUCUAUGCAAGAGGCCCAACCUACAUCUAAGUAUCUAAUCAGGUUUAAUCUGUCACUUCUUUGUAUCCAUAGUCCUUGAUUCAUUGUUUCUUUAAGGUAUCUCAACACCAUCUUCAAUGCCUGGCAAUGUGUGGAUGUUGGUGAUUGCAAACAUUGGCUUAGCUAAACAAAAGUGAUAUCAGGCCUAAUGUGUGUGAGGUAUUGUAGUCCUCCUAUUACACUUCUGUAAUUUGAGGGAUUCUUCAACACUUGUCCAUCAAUUUUUAACAUGGUUUUGCCGACAAGAAUUGGAGUAGGACAAGACUUCAAAUUUCAUAAGCAGCUUAAUAAUGUAUCUUGUUUAAGUAAGGUGAAGUCCUGAAUCAUGCCACACUACUUCAACUCCAAGGAAGUGAUGAAGUUGUCCCAUAUCUUUCAGAGGAAAUUUUUUGUUCAAUUCAUUUAUGAAUCCUUGUAACAGCUUGACAUCAUUUCUUGUCACAACAAUAUCGUUAACAUAAAUAAGUGCAAAAAUAAUCUAUCUUUCCUUCUUGAAGUAAAAUAAUGAUGUAUCUGCUAUUGAUUGUUUGAACUUUUAGCUUAAUAGAGUUGUUUUCAACUUAUCAUACCAGGAAAAUCCAGUUGAUACAACCAUUCUUUAAGCUUCCAUUGCAGCAUUACUUUCCUUGUUAGCUUGUCCUUAACAAAACAAUAAUUAGAAUGAAAUUCCAUAUAAAUUUGAUUGUUAAAUGUUAACCGUGAAACACUUAUAAGACUUUUCUUAAUCUCAGAAACAUGAAGCAGUUUAUUUAAUAUAAGUGUUUUAUCAUUUAAGGUUGGGAUGUGAGUUAUACCAAAGUAUGAAAUUUGCAACUUAUUUUCAUUUCCAACAAUGAUUUUCUCCUUACCAGUGUAUUCAUUGACUGAAUUAAUAUUUUCCUUUUCAGCAGUGAUGUGCUUACUGAUAAGUGCAUUUUAUGCACUUAUUUGGACUACAUAAUUAGGUUUUUAUGCCGUCAAAUUAUCAAUUUUUACCAAACUUGUAUUAAUUUUCUUUUAUUUUUAGUUAUGGACCCGUUUUGAAGCAAUUGAAAAAGAAAAUAAUCAAUUGGCUAUUACAUUGAGUUUGUGGACAAAAUCUUGUGGAAUAAAAGAUGGAGGAUCAAAAUUGAGGAGAAAAUGAAGAGAAGGACUAACUUGCAUUACAUGAAAGAAUUGAGUACUCAAAACUUAUUGGACAUGGGCUUCUAAUUUGUAUAUAGAAUAAGGGCUUUAUUGUUGAGGUAUAUGUACACUUGCAGCCGAGAAAAGCCGAAGGGAGUAGAAAAAUUCAUAAACACAUAGAUAGAAAAAGGCGAGGAGGAGGAUGUCGUGGGAGAGAAUUGAAAUCCCUUCUGGGGAUUAAAUAUACAGCAAGCCGAGGCUGGUGGGCGGAAGAAAACAUAAUAUAUAGAUAGGGAGAAAAUCGGCAGCUUUGGGGGAAUUAAAAGGAACAGAAAGCAAGCUGGUUUUGGACUCUUUAAUUGGCAAAUUUAGUGGCAGAAAAAAAAAGAGUAUCACUGGGGCUGAAUUGAGUAUAUUCCACGACAGAAAGUCGGCUACAGCUUGGGGUCAAAUUGGAAUUAAAGAGACAUUGGACGGUUGCACUUAAAUAUAUAUACACAGAGCCGGACCUGGGAAUUGAGUGCUGAAUUACUAAAAUAAAUCAGCUGUUGGGAAUUAAUUGGUGGGCUCAAAUCUGAUUUUUAUACAUAUAUAAUUCCCACAGGAAGCAGGCUGCUUGGGGAGACAUUGGACGGUUGGAAUUAAGGAACGCACAUACAGAGGCAGACGACAUCACGCAGAAAAGAGGAAAAAGACGACAGAUCUAUAUAUUGAAAGAUUAAUCACGUUUCAUCAAUUAUUGGUGAUGUCGUUCGACUUUUAUUUAUUUAAUUCUACCGUUAUGUUAGGCUAGAUCUUUUCGUGCUAGGAUUUGCGAUGAACCUUAUAUUAUGAACCCUUAAUCUUAAAUUUUAUUUAUUUGAAGUUAAAACGUGUUUUUAAUUAUUGAAUAAUUGGCAUGGAUUUUAUUUUCUCUACAAUUAUAGGCGCAAUAUUUGUAUAAGAUUUGUGGCUUGUUUUACUCUCGAGAGAUAGAAAAUAAGUUAGACAUUAUGUUAAUUGUCGUAAAGUCCGAUAGGGGAUAGAAAUAUACCGCUAUACUUUACGUGAUCUUUAAGUAUUCAUAAAUCUUUACUGCAUUUUUAUAUGUUCGCAUCCGUCAUAGAAAUAUAGUCGGAUUGCAUGUGAAAAUAGGUUUAAUUCUACUCGAGAGAGUUAAACAAAUUAGGAAUAUUGGUCUUCAUAAUUGAAUCGUGUUGUCAAUUUUAUAAAAUUCGGAUUAAAGGGGAUUCGGGAUCCUAGUACGCAUUUCGUUAUCAUAUUUUUAUAAACUUGCAUUUAGUUAUAAUCACGCAUUUAAUUUAGUUAAUUUAGGCUUUAUAUUUAUAAGUAAGUUAUUAAAUUAUAAUUUAGUUAGCGAAAAUAUCAAAAAUUUCUAUUGUUUCGAUUAAGGCGUGGAUAAUUUAAAUUUAAACUAAUACAAUCUCUGUGGGACGACACUUGGACUCAAAAGGUCCACUUUAUUACUUGAACGCGACCCGUGCACUUGCGAUGUAGGAUUUUAGCGAACACUUAUUAGUGCUGUAUCAGCAAACCAAGCUGGAGCAUUCACAAUGCUGGUAGAUGCUAUAAUCGUUGUUGGUGAAGGGCUAUAGUUGAUCCUCUGGUUUGGCGGUGUUCUAGUGUAUCUCUCAUCAUAUCGAAAAUUGCAAUUAUUAGCCUUAUGUCCAACCUUGCCACACACUUGACAUAUAGGUCUGUCACCAACAUUAAAAUUUCCACCUCUAUUUCCGCCUCCUCAUCCACUUCUAAAAUUCUUGUAACUUGAAAGUCGUCCACCAAUGCCUACCUGUAGAUCUGAUGUGAUGAUGAUUGGGGCUUGAUCUUUGAGAAAAAUUUGCUGAUGUUUGAUCAAUGUUGAUCCCUACUAAUUCAUUCCUGACUGUGUUGAGAUGUUCAAGUCUGGUUUCGAAGGUCAUAAGUGUUGACUACAGUUCUCCCCAAGAGAUGUGAUCUCUGCUGUUAAUUUGAACAACAAUUGGUGUAUAUUCUUCAUCUUAGCCAGCCAAGACCUAAGUAACCAGGUCAGAGUGAGGAAUAGCUUUGCCAACAGUUUUAAAGUUAUCUACAAACAGCUUCACUUUGUUCAAACAUUGAUCAAUGCUUAUGGUUCCUUUCCUUGAUUUCUGAAACUCACCAGUAAGAAAGGUGAUCCUGGACUUGUUUGUAGUCCUGGGCAAAAAAAAUCGACCAAACCAAUCAAACCGAAUUGGUUUGGUUCGAGUUGGUUUGACGCAGAUAAUUGAUUUGAUUUGGUUUUCUUUUAAACAAAAUUGCGAUGGGUCGGUUCAGUCAUGGUUUGAAGUCUCAAACCGUUUGUUAACCGAACCAACAUAAUCCACUUAUGUGUUCACCUUUUUUUUUAGUUUAAGGAAAAAUAAAAAUCAAAAGAUAAAUUCUAAUCACAUAACUAUAUCUUGAUUCCCUCUAAUCUAUGAUAUUACUGGUAACUAAUAGCACAGACAAUUUUCUUUCACAAGCUUAUUAUGUUAUACUUAGCACUUUGUUCCUUAUUCAGGCGGUCAAAUUACAUAAUACAUACAAAAAAAAUAAUUAGGUUUUCUGCUGAUCCUUCUAUAUUAACCUGAUUUUAUUUGUUAAUCAAUAAUUCUUAUAAUAUAAAACUAUUUGAUUAUUUUUGUUAUUGUAAUUUAAGUGUGCCUAAACUCAAAUAAUUUCUUUUAAAAAAAUUUAAUUUAGACUAAAAGUCCAAACCAAUUAACCAAAUCAAUUUGGUUUGGUUCGAUCUAAAAGUUAGAGUGGAUUGGUUUGGCUUGAAAUUUGACCAACCGACUAAUUUAGUUUUGAUUUUGGGUUGGAACCGAAACCGACCCAAAGCAAAUCGCGCCCAAGCCUAUUUGUUUUGAACUCCAUAACUCUCUUUUAUAGCAGUCCACAGUUCAUUGGAGUUGGUGGCACCCAUGACUCUCAUAGCUAUAUCAGGAGUCAUUGAAGAGUAGAGCCAUCCCAUUAGCAAUUGGUUUGUUGACAUCCAUUUAUUCAAGAUUUUUGGUCAUUUCAACACUGGUUCCAGCUUCACCAGUAACUUGAGUGCCAAUAAAUUCUUGAGGGCACACCUUUGUCCCCAGAAUAUAGUCUUUAAGAUUGUGUCCACGAAUGAUAGACAGAAUCAUAUUUUGCCAUAGUAGAAAAUUGUUCUUAUCAAGCUUGACCGACGCUACUUGGGUCAGAUUCACACCAAAGGGUGAGAGAUGGUUGCUUCUCUACAUGUAGCAACAAUAUUGAUUGAGAUUGAUACAGGAGUAGAGAUGGGGUCAGUGCUUUGUGGUGCAUUAUCGGCGUUGGCCAUGAAUUUGCUCUGAUACCAAGUUAGAAAUUCAGAUAAUGUUGAAUACUGAUUCACCUUAAAACUUACAUUGCUUCAGCAUCAAUAAAUAUAUAUUACAAAGGAGUGUACAAAGAAUAUUAUAGAGUGUACAGCUGCGAAUUAGUUCCUUAAACUAUGGAGUAUGCUAGGAAUCUAUUUAUAACAGAGAUCAGUGGCAGUAUUCUGGUGAAACAGGAGGUAAGAUAGCAAGGAUAAGUAGCUGGUGUUUUGAGAUUAGUUGUCAAUUGAGCUGGAGGCUGAAGUGUAUGUUAAUCCUUGACAUGUACGAAGGACUUGUUUUAGGCUGGUGCAACAGUCGAGCGUGGGCGCUUUAACAUCACCUCCAGCAUAGGAAGACAUGUAGCUAGACCUACUGAUUGAUUUGCACGUAGUUCUCAAUAUUUGGCUAAAUCCGAUCUUGCAAAACCUAACAAAAUGAAGACCAAAAUGCAUGUAUACUUUGCCUUCAUUUUUCAAUGUAGAUAGAGAGAGAGAAUGAGAGAGAUCCUCCAUGCCUUUAUAUGCUUUUUUUGAGACAACAGCACUCAGAUGCUGAGCUUCAAGCUUCUUUUAUUUUUGUUGGAGGGAUUUAUUUUUAUGUUUUUCUUCUUUAGAAAUCAUACUUUUAUAAUGUAUUCAUCUCGGAAAAUGAAAAUCUUGGAUAAUUGAAUUUAAUUUCUUCAUGCUACUGUAAUUUUGUUUUUGAAGUUUUCUGGUAAUAUGGCGACAUCGAGUUUAAUUUCUUCAUGCUGUGAUUUUAAUACGUAUCUCAAGAAUUCUGUCUAGCUGCUAAUGAAAUUUUACUUGUAAUAGAAUGUUUUUCAAUAAGUGAUUUUUUAUCAGUAAAUAGUUUAUUUAGUUAUAAAUUAUUUUUAAACUUAUAAAAUAAUUUUUUAAUGCUUAUUUACUUAUAAAUAAAUUCUUAUAUUUUAAUCAAACUUAUUUUUUCUUCGUUCAUAAAAUUGUGAAUAAACUAUACGGUCUAAAAUUCAACUCAUAUAUUAAUUUAUUUAAGGCGCUAAUUGUAUCAAAGAUCAAAUAAGGAAUAGGUAAGAUUAAAAUAAUCUUUAUAGGUUUUAAUACAAUACACCAAACAUACACUUAAAAUAACUGCAAGAACAUCUAUCCGACUUGUUAAUCCAAACAAAUGCCACUUUUCCAGGAUAAACGUCGAAAAUUUAUAUUUUUCACUUCUCAGCUUUUAAGUAAUUUAAGAAAAUGCAGUUGGCGCUAGCUGCUAUGUUUUAAAGGCUUGGAAUUGCUUUGAAAUUAAAAAUGUGUAAAAAAAAAAAACACCAUGACAACUAGGAAAGUAAAGCAUGUUUCAUGAAAAAGGCUAAAGCAACUGAAAUAAAAUUUCCCAAAUAUCAACAUAAUUCCCAUAUGUAACAUUCAAUCACUGAAAGUUAAACUUCUUUGGACCUAAAAUCCACGUCUUCACUCUCUGUGCGCAUAUUGGAGAAGAAUAUUUCUAUCCUUUAGCAACUGCAGAAAGCACAACAUAGAUAAGUUGAUAAGCUUAAAUGUUUGAUUAUAAGUAUAUAGGAAACUUUUUUUAUAUAAAAAAAAGUAACAUAUAUGAACAUAGUCAAUUUCAGUCAGAUAAGUAAAUGAUGUCUAUCAAAUUACUUGGGAAUACCUGGCCAUCCAUUUCCUUCAAGGCUUUGCUUGCUGCUCGGCAUAACGUACAAAUCCAUAUCCUUUUGAUUUGCCACUUACAUGGUCACAUAUAACGUUUACUGCCAAAUACAUCACAUUACUUUCUUGAUAAAUAAUAUCACAUUUCUAAAAUGCAAUAUAAAAGUCCAAUACCUACCUUGAAUUACCUCGCCAUACUUCUCGAAAGCUUUCUUUAGAACAGGUUCAUUGGUAUCAUAAGAAAGUCCUGAAAUUUGUUGCAGAUUUAUACAAUGAAAUGCCUACGUUAAAACAUUUUCAGAAUUGAAAACAGUUGAAUAAUGGUUUUCAUUUUUUCCACAGGCCAAGCCCUGGCUUUUGAGCGUAGGCAGCCCUCUACCAUCUAUCCCAUUGCAUUCCAUCGUUGGAUGUUUGGAAGGUCCGUUUUGCAGAACUUUGGCUUUCUUCAUGUAAAAGAGCUUCCUGAAGCAAUUAUUUAGGAUUAAUUUUCUCUAAAAGUUAUUCUAGUCCAGACAAAGCACUUUAAGAAAACUACUCAAACAUGUUCAAAAUUUGUACCAAACGAAUACUAAGGAAUGAGGGAGUAUCAGGCAAAGAGCUUCUUUCAAGUGGGGCAUUAUAUCGAACAGACAAGAGAAGCAAACUUAAAGGAAUGACUGCACGAUGUUUCCUCCAAACGGUUUAAAGAUUUAAAACACUAGUGCUUGCACAUGCUCAUACAAAUGUCUUUAUGUGUCUGUGAUUCGACAUAGAGAAAGAAAGAGAGACCUCCGACAAACAAUUUUGUGGAAGAGUGGCGCAACACAAGCCACCUGUAGAGAGGAAAUGCAGAGGAGAUGCGACGACUACUCGGGAAAUACAUCUGCAUCAAUAGUUGCAUAGCACAAAAAUAUUAUAAUGCACAAAUUUGUAAAUAAUCCUCAAUUGAAGACUGAGUGGUUUACUAUGACCCUUACUAAUAACCCAGGAUCACCAAACCUUGAAUUCUGAUCAUCCUGUAUGGCCGAAACUUCCCAUCGAAAACUGAUAAUUGUACAAAGAAUGGCAAUGGUGGACUUUUCCAGUGAUUUGAAAGAGACGUUAUUUGUUUUGUUAUAUUACUUCACCCAACUGCCCAUUCAUCUCAAAUGGCACAAAGUGGAAAAUUCAUACCUCACUUUAAUAGUCUUCCUCUCCUUUUUAUUUAAUGACUACAUGACUACAAACCUUGAUACAUCAGUUAACACAUUACACGCACAUGAAGAGCUUGACAUUAUUUUAUUCGCCCAGGAGUCACACCUCAAUUGUAAGAAAUGUGUCAAACAAUAUGUCAAAGUAUAUGGUCAUUUAACUUAAUUCUUAUUUAUUGGCUGCACUGACCUACCUUCUAUGCGAACCAUAACAAAAAACAGCAAUCAAACUAUAAUGUGUACAUCAUUAAGAGCCUGUUUGGGAUUAAUUUUGAGAAUUGAUUUUUUGACCAUUAGGAGAAAAGUGAAAUCCACCUGUGAGAGAAGAAGUCAAAUAUAACAGCUGAAAUAAUAAAAUAACAGUAAAAAAAUCAAUUUUUUGGGUGAAAAAAUCAGGCCCAAACAAGCCCUAAAUUAACCAAAGAAACACGAGAAAAAAUUAAAAAACCAAAACAAGGGGUUUCAAUUUUAAUUCAUGGAUUCAAAGAAAUAGAACAACAUAUUACAACCUUAUCUUUCUCUACAACCCAUUUUUUCUAGAAACUCGUUCUAAGGCUAAGCUAACUACAUGGUAAAAUAUUUUAUCAGGUGAAUUCAUAUUGAACUAAGCAGCAGCCUUCUUGGGAGACUUGGUAGCCUUUGAGGGUGAUUUUGGUUCCUUAUCUGCACCAGUCUUCUUUGGCAACAAUACUGGGUUAAUGUUCGGAAUCACUCCACCAUGAGCAAUGGUCACUCCUUGCAGCAAUUUCCCAAGCUCUUCAUCAUUCCUCACAG
rnacentral:lncRNA from 1 species